CUCUCCCUAAGAGUUCCUCGGCACCGUGGACAUCUUUUUUAAUCACUACACUUGGUAGUUUUGGUUUAAUUUGACUAAGCUAGGGAGGGUGGCUUGUCCACGGUGCUGAGGCACUUUUAGGGAGAGAUUUAUUGAGGUCUCCAUGGACAUGGGUUUUCUCAUAUAGGGCCCCCUAUCCUCCUCUCUCCCCUUACCUACAUUGUUUAAUUGCCUUUUCCUCUCAUUUGUUCACUGCUCUAGGGUAUAUAUCAUAUUGGGGUGGCAUUUAGAGGCUCCUACAUUCCUUCUCUACUUUUUUGCUUAGAGAGAGGAUACCCUUGAGCACUGUUUAGACAAAUCUUCCCUAAUUAUCUUGGUUUUUUUUAACCCGAUU